rnacentral:rRNA from 1 species
GACGAACGCUGGCGGCGUGCUUAACACAUGCAAGUCGAACGAAGUGGCGAACGGGUGAGUAACGCGUCAUCAACCUGCCCUUCAGAGGGGGACAACAGUUGGCAACGCCUGCUACUACCGCAUACGGAAGGAGGGUAUUGCGUCUGAUUAGCUAUUUGGAGGGGUAACGGCCCAACAAGGCGAUGAUCAGUAGCCGGUCUGAGAGGAUGAACGGCCACAGUGGGACUGAGACACGGCCCAGACUCCUACGGGAGGAAGCAGUGGGGAAUCUUCCGAAAGGGACGAAAGUCUGACGAAGCAACGCCGCGUGAGUGAUGACGGCCUUCGGGUUGUAAAGCUCUGUUAAUCGGGACGCGGUACCGGAAUAGAAAGCCACGGCUAACUACGUGCCAGCAGCCGCGGUAAUAC